rnacentral:ncRNA from 1 species
AGUCGUGUAUUUACAAAACCAAAUUUAAUACCUGUAAUAAGGGCAGGUAGUUUCUACCAGAGCGCCGUAAAUGCUCUGACAAUCGUUUUGAAAACAAUCU